AGCGGGAAAAGCUCAAAUUUAAAAUCUGGCGGUCUCCGGCCGUCCGAGUUGUAAUCUAGAGAAGUGUUAUCCGCGCUGGACCGUGUACAAGUCUCCUGGAAUGGAGCGUCAUAGAGGGUGAGAAUCCCGUCUUUGACACGGACUGCCAGGGCUUUGUGAUGCGCUCUCAAAGAGUCGAGUUGUUUGGGAAUGCAGCUCAAAAUGGGUGGUAAAUUCCAUCUAAAGCUAAAUAUUGGCGAGAGACCGAUAGCGAACAAGUACCGUGAGGGAAAGAUGAAAAGAACUUUGGAAAGAGAGUUAAACAGUACGUGAAAUUGCUGAAAGGGAAACGCUUGAAGUCAGUCGCGUUGGCCGGGGAUCAACCUUGCUUUUGCUGGGCGUACUUUCCGGUCGACGGGUCAGCAUCAAUUUUGACCGUUGGAUAAAGUUCAGGGGAAUGUGGCAUCUUCGGAUGUGUUAUAGCCCUUGGUCGCAUACAACGAUUGGGAUUGAGGAACUCAGCACGCCGCAAGGCCGGGUACUUGUACCACGUUCGUGCUUAGGAUGCUGGCAUAAUGGCUUUAAUCGACCCGUCUUGAAACACGGACCAAGGAGUCUAACAUGCCUGCGAGUGUUUGGGUGGAAAACCCGGGCGCGUAAUGAAAGUGAAAGUUGAGAUCCCUGUCGCGGGGAGCAUCGACGCCCGGACCAGACCUUUUGUGACGGAUCCGCGGUAGAGCAUGUAUGUUGGGACCCGAAAGAUGGUGAACUAUGCCUGAAUAGGGUGAAGCCAGAGGAAACUCUGGUGGAGGCUCGUAGCGAUUCUGACGUGCAAAUCGAUCGUCAAAUUUGGGUAUAGGGGGGAAAGACUAAUCGAACCAUCUAGUAGCUGGUUCCUGAAGUUUCCCUCAGGAUAGCAGAAACUCUUUUCAGAUU
rnacentral:rRNA from 1 species